CUUUCACAGAGGCUCAGGGGGGAUAUCUUUGGAGGACCUGUUAUGUGCCUGGCCCUGUGUAUAUAAUCUCCCAUUCAAUCCCCAGAGAAACUCUGUGAGGAUGCUAUUGGU